rnacentral:rRNA from 1 species
GACGAACGCUGGCGGCGCGCCUAACACAUGCAAGUCGAACGGAGCUUAGAGAGCUUGCUUUUUAAGCUUAGUGGCGAACGGGUGAGUAACGCGUGAGUAACCUGCCCUAGAGUGGGGGACAACAGUUGGAAACGACUGCUAAUACCGCAUAAGCCCACGGUACCGCAUGGUACUGAGGGAAAAGGAUUUAUUCGCUUUAGGAUGGACUCGCGUCCAAUUAGCUAGUUGGUGAGGUAACGGCCCACCAAGGCGACGAUUGGUAGCCGGACUGAGAGGUUGAACGGCCACAUUGGGACUGAGACACGGCCCAGACUCCUACGGGAGGCAGCAGUGGGGGAUAUUGCACAAUGGGGGAAACCCUGAUGCAGCGACGCCGCGUGGAGGAAGAAGGUUUUCGGAUUGUAAACUCCUGUCGUUAGGGACGAUAAUGACGGUACCUAACAAGAAAGACACCGGCUAACUACGUG